UACAGAGGUCUCAAGCGUUGUUCGGAUUCAUUGGGCGUAAAGGGUGCGUAGGUGGCGCCGUAAGUCAGGUGUGAAAUUUCGGAGCUUAACUCCGAAACUGCAUUCGAUACUGCGGUGCUCGAGGACUGGAGAGGAGACUGGAAUUUACGGUGUAGCGGUGAAAUGCGUAGAUAUCGUAAGGAAGACCAGUGGCGAAGGCGGGUCUCUGGACAGUUCCUGACGCUGAGGCACGAAGGUCAGGGGAGCAAACGGG
rnacentral:rRNA from 1 species